UAUUUUGAGGGGCGUGACAGAGGUGGUAUUAGAGCAUGGUUUGAGGGUCACUGAAAUAUUUGAUAUGUUGACGUGCAAAAUAUAUUAAGGUCUAAUGAACUAUAGUGAUUGGUGGAAAUUUUCUUUGAUGUAUUUUAGGAAUCUAGGAUGACGAUGACAUUUAGUCCUCCUACUUCAUCUGAUUUUGAUUAAUUAAGUGGGAUGAAAGGGGUAAUUGGGGAUAUUGAAUCAGAGUGGCGUAGCGGAAGCAUGGUGGACCUUAUUUUAUUGGUGGUAGAAAAAUGGAUGAUGCAAACGGAGAAGAUAUAUGAUGUACAAAAUUAUUCUAAUGAUCAAAAGAUUUCUUUUGCUACCUUAUAUUGGAAGUAGAGGCUGAUUAUUAAUGGCAAUAAUUAAAAGAAUUUUUGGAGAUCAGUG
rnacentral:lncRNA from 1 species